ensembl:lncRNA
UUUAAAGCCGGUGCCGCCGGCUCACGCUGAGCGUCGAGCCGCACUACUUUCAACUUCAACAGCUUCCACUCCAAGACAAGGCGCUGAGAUGCGCCGCGCCGUACCACAGAACUUCGACAGGUCCGCCGAGUUGGUCGUCCUCUCCCUCUACGCUUUCUAAGAAGAGCUUCAAAAUUUGCAGAGGUAAAGUUGAAAAGAGGUACUUGGUGGAUAAGGAACAGCAGUGGAUGAGGAAUGAGGAAGCUCCCGCUGGAGUUAUCCAUCCUGGACUACGAUGUGGUUCACUUCCCUCCAUCCAUGGCUGCUGCUUUCUGCUUGGCUAUAAAACUCGCUAAUAGAGACACGUGAGCAGUAAAGAACAAAUACGCCAGGAGCGAAAGCUUCAGGACAGGCACCGUGAUGGAGCUGCACUCCCCGCUCAUCUGUGACCUCGCCCUGCCUCUGGUGGAUUCUUUCUCUGAAUUCCAGUAGCAAUGGGCGUCUAUUUAUUAUGUGUCUUAUAUAUUUUAUUUCUAAUAAUAAAGAUUGUCUCCUGUUCUCCUGCUUCCCUGUCCCCGCCUGCUCUGAGCUGCGGGUCCGCGGGCGGGGGCUGCGGCUGAUGGGCGGGCGGCGACGCUGAGUGAACCCCGGUGUGUCACGUACCGGGUGGCUUUCGCCCAGCGACAGCCGCUGUGCCCUGCCUACACACGCCA